UACAGAGGGGGCAAGCGUUGUUCGGAAUUACUGGGCGUAAAGGGCUCGUAGGCGGCCAACUAAGUCAGACGUGAAAUCCCUCGGCUUAACCGGGGAACUGCAUCUGAUACUGGAUGGCUUGAGAUUGGGAGAGGGAUGCGGAAUUCCAGGUGUAGCGGUGAAAUGCGUAGAUAUCUGGAGGAACACCGGUGGCGAAGGCGGCAUCCUGGACCAACACUGACGCUGAGGAGCGAAAAGCCAGGGGAGCAAACGGGG
rnacentral:rRNA from 1 species